rnacentral:rRNA from 1 species
CGGUUGAUCCUGCCGGAGGUUACUGCUAUCGGUGUUUGCCUAAGCCAUGCGAGUCAAAUGUUCUUCGUGAACAUGGCGUACUGCUCAGUAACACGUGGAUAACCUGCCCUCAGGUCUGGCAUAACCCCGGGAAACUGGGGAUAAUUCCGGAUAACGCAUAUAUGCUGGAAUGCUUUAUGCGUCAAAGGUCCUCCGCCUGAGGAUGGGUCUGCGGCCUAUCAGGUAGUAGCGGGUGUAAUGUACCUGCUAGCCGACGACGGGUACGGGUUGUGAGAGCAAGAGCCCGGAGAUGGAUUCUGAGACAUGAAUCCAGGCCCUACGGGGCGCAGCAGGCGCGAAAACUUUACAAUGCGGGCAACCGUGAUAAGGGGACACCGAGUGCCAGCAACAUUUGCUGGCUGUCCACGUGCGUAAAAUGCACGUGUUAGCAAGGGCCGGGCAAGACCGGUGCCAGCCGCCGCGGUAACACCGGCGGCCCGAGUGGUGAUCGUUAUUAUUGGGUCUAAAGGGUCCGUAGCCGGUUUGGUCAGUCUUCCGGGAAAUCUGUCAGCUCAACUGAUAGGCUAUCGGGGGAUACUGCUAGACUUGGAACCGGGAGAGGUAAGAGGUACUACAGGGGUAGGAGUGAAAUCUUGUAAUCCCUGUGGGACCACCUGUGGCGAAGGCGUCUUACCAGAACGGGUUCGACGGUGAGGGACGAAAGCUGGGGGCACGAACCGGAUUAGAUACCCGGGUAGUCCCAGCCGUAAACGAUGCUCGCUAGGUGUCAUGCAUGGUGCGACCGUGUAUGGUGCCGUAGGGAAGUCGUGAAGCGAGCCACCUGGGAAGUACGGCCGCAAGGCUGAAACUUAAAGGAAUUGGCGGGGGAGCAC